CAAAACUCUUCUGUAAUAAACAGUGAAUUUAUUAUAACAUAAAAUUUAUAUACUAGGGUAGCAUUAGAACUUUAAUUAUACCUUUUAUUCAAAAAUUUUUUUUAAAUGAAGAACUGGGCCAGGUGCAAUGACUCCUUCCUAUCAUCUCAGCACUUUGGGAGGCCAAGGCAAGUGGAUCACCUGAGGUCAGGAGUUCGAGACCAGCCUGGACAACAAGGUACUAAGUCUAUGGAUCAUUAAAAACC
rnacentral:lncRNA from 13 species